rnacentral:rRNA from 1 species
GACGAACGCUGGCGGCGUGCUUAACACAUGCAAGUCGAACGGAAAGGCCCUGCUUUUGUGGGGUGCUCGAGUGGCGAACGGGUGAGUAACACGUGAGUAACCUGCCCUUGACUUUGGGAUAACUUCAGGAAACUGGGGCUAAUACCGGAUAGGAGCUCCUGCUGCACGGUGGGGGUUGGAAAGAUUCGGCGGUUGGGGAUGGACUCGCGGCUUAUCAGCUUGUUGGUGGGGUAGUUGCUUACCAAGGCUUUGACGGGUAGCCGGCCUGAGAGGGUGACCGGCCACAUGAGGACUAAGGUACGGCCCAGACUCCUACGGGAGGCAGCAGUGGGGAAUAUUGCACAAUGGGCGGAAGCCUGAUGCAGCAACGCCGCGUGCGGGAUGACGGCCUUCGGGUUGUAAACCGCUUUCGACUGUGACGAAGCGUGAGUGACGGUAAUGAGUAAAGAAGCACCGGCUAACUACGUG